UCAAAAUUAGUCACAAGAUCUAGCUAAGGAGAUCGAACAUAGAAAAAUUCCCUAGUCCAGCAGCUUGAUUAAAUAUUUAAUAAAAUGGAGGCUAAAUUUCUACAAUUUUAGCCUGUGUUCCAAUUAAAUUCUUUGUGAACACACUGGUAGAAAACUGAGCAUUAGUUCUAGUUGGAGAGACGCAUAGGUCUUUCACCCGGGACUAAAGUUGCACUAAAAAAUAUUCUAAAUUCUUGGGAAGCUCCCCACGCACGCC
rnacentral:lncRNA from 1 species